UACGUAGGGCGCAAGCGUUGUCCGGAAUUAUUGGGCGUAAAGAGCUCGUAGGCGGCUUGUCACGUCGGGUGUGAAAACCCGGGGCUCAACUCCGGGCCUGCAGUCGAUACGGGCUGGCUUGAGUGCGGUAGGGGAGACUGGAAUUCCUGGUGUAGCGGUGAAAUGCGCAGAUAUCAGGAGGAACACCGGUGGCGAAGGCGGGUCUCUGGGCCGUAACUGACGCUGAGGAGCGAAAGCGUGGGGAGCGAACAGG
rnacentral:rRNA from 1 species